GUAGUCGGAUUCGCAUCAAUCCACAUGUAUUAGGGUGGGUUAGAGUAAAACUUGAACUAAAUUUCACCUCAAUCCACUCCAACACAUGUGGAUUGAGGUGAAUCCGACA
rfam:Sorghum bicolor cultivar BTx623 chromosome 1, whole genome shotgun sequence.